UCAUCCCAGAACAGUCAGCUAGGAUUGUUUCUGCAAGUCAGAGGCAUCUCCUCUCCUUUGUUUUUAGAAAUGGUUUCAUUGCCUGAAGGUGAACAGCCUUUUGUCUAAAUGCAAUUUUAGCAACAGUACAGUGUUUCAAGAGUGAAACAUUCUGCACGUAAAUGGGUUUUUUGAGUGUUUGUUUACUGAGUUAACAUUCUUAAAAGCUUAAAUCCUAAACCUGGAUUAAGGAUUCUAACCAGAUUGGAGAUGAAGUUUCUUCCAUGCAGAAAAGAAAAGAAAAAAAAAAUCUUUCAGGUAUUCUCAGGGAAGACUACCAUCAGAUUUUUCCCAAGGUAUUGUACAGAUCUUGUUUACCUUGAGUAAUGACAGUUUAAAUUAGGAACUUAACUAGAAAUCUUAUCUCGGAAUUAUUUAAGACAAAGAAAAAGAUUUAUGCAGAAGUAUACCUGACUCUUCUAUGUCUUGGCCUGUGCACUAACAAAACAGAUGGGGAACCAGAAGAACUAAAGGCAAAGGCAUAUGUCCAAGUUGACAAAGCAAGUCUGUGAUGAAGCCUGGAGCUGAAACUAGACACUGACUCGUAUGCUGGCUUAUACCUUAGAAGUCUAUCUUUUGUAUCCAUCCAUAUGCUUCUGAGAUGCUGGUUUUUUACUCCUAAUGUAAGGUUCAGAGUGGAAACAUCCCAUCAAAGAGUUCUUGCAAUCUGUCUGACAGGAUUUCAUCUGUGGUGGCACAUACCGGCUGCUAAGUAAAAGGACAGGAAGCAGGCAACCAAAACUGCAGCCUGUGGGUAGGCAGAUGCCGUUGCCAGUUCGAUCUCAUCCCUGCAAGCCUCAAAUUUCUGCAAAACUGCAGGACUGUUGCUGAGACGUGAAAGAACAGCAGUUUCUGGCAUGUUUCCUAUUGCUGAAAGGAAGAAGCAAACAAGAACAGAGGUAGUGCAAAUCAUGGAGGACAUAACCUGCCUAGAGUGAUGAAAGAGUACAGAUGAUAUAUAUUUUCAAAAGCUAAGAUAAUUCUGCUUGAAAACCUACCCAAAGAAAUGGGCACUUACCUCUUUGGAAAGCAAAAAUAAGGUAACCAUGUCGGCAAUUUUACUAGAGAGUUUUCGCUGUAUCUUCUUUUUCUCUACGUCGGACAUGAGCAAAAUUUGCUAAAAAUAAACAAUGUCUGCAAUCA